rnacentral:rRNA from 1 species
UACCCACUGAGUUUAAGCAUAUCAAUAAGCGGAGGAAAAGAAACU